GUCUCGAAAAAGAAAGAUACAAAAGCUGAUAGAUACUUAAUUCCUAGCAAACCCUUACGUGAAUAAGGAAAAAGCAAACAAACUAGGACGUCUAAAACUGAUGGUUUCUUGAUUCCUAGAGGUUGGUCAGGUCGAUCAAGCUGAUCAUGGCCUUACUUCAAUUCUGAAGAAGUUCUCACCAUCUUCUUGGGAAAGAGUGAUCAUAGAGUUGAUUCUGGUAGCAGCAAAAUCCGUCCACUGAUUCCCGGAGAUAGUAUAGUUGCCUCCUUGACCCUUGCACUGAAAAUCCCACCAUCCUCCUAAACCGUCCGUAACCCUCAAAACCGUUGUACCACCCGGGAGUGCGUGGCCAUGAUACUGAAACCUUAACUUUCUUGUAUGAUUUGUUGCAAGAUUGAUUUCGAAGAUGAGGGCCAUUUCUGCUCAGAAGAUUGUAAUUUGA
rnacentral:lncRNA from 1 species